AGAGUUUGAUCAUGGCUCAGAACGAACGCUGGCGGCGUGCUUAACACAUGCAAGUCGAGUGCGCGCCUGUAGCAAUACAGGUGGCGCACGGCGCGCGGGUGCGUAACACGUGGGUAACCUGCCCUUUGGUGGGGAAUAACUCCGCGAAAGCGAAGCUAAUUCCGCAUAAGAUCCGCAAGGAUGAAAGCCGAAAGGCGCCGAUGGAGGGGCCCGCGCACGAUUAGCUAGUUGGUAGGGUAAUGGCCUACCAAGGCUUUGAUCGUCAGCUGGUCUGAGAGGAUGGCCAGCCACACUGGAACUGAGACACGGUCCAGACUCCUACGGGAGGCAGCAGUGGGGAAUCUUGCACAAUGGGCGAAAGCCUGAUGCAGCGACGCCGCGUGGGGGAUGAAGCUUCUCGGAGUGUAAACCCCUUUCGAUCCGGACGAAUGCCCGCAAGGGAUUGACGGUACGGAUAUAAGAAGCCCCGGCUAACUACGUGCCAGCAGCCGCGGUAAUACGUAGGGGGCCAGCGUUGUUCGGAAUUACUGGGUGUAAAGGGUUCGUAGGCGGUGCGGCAAGUUGGGAGUGAAAUCUCUGGGCUCAACCCAGAGGCUGCUUCCAAAACUGCCGUGCUUGAGUGUGGGAGAGGCUCGUGGAAUUGCAGGUGUAGCGGUGAAAUGCGUAGAUAUCUGCAGGAACACCCGUGGCGAAAGCGGCGAGCUGGACCACUACUGACGCUGAAGAACGAAAGCUAGGGGAGCAAACAGGAUUAGAUACCCUAGUAGUCC
rnacentral:rRNA from 1 species